rnacentral:rRNA from 1 species
CAGUAGCCGCGGUAAUACGGAGGGAGCUAGCGUUGUUCGGAAUUACUGGGCGUAAAGCGCGCGUAGGCGGUUACUCAAGUCAGAGGUGAAAGCCCGGGGCUCAACCCCGGAACUGCCUUUGAAACUAGGUGACUAGAAUCUUGGAGAGGUCAGUGGAAUUCCGAGUGUAGAGGUGAAAUUCGUAGAUAUUCGCAGGAACACCAGUGGCGAAGGCGGCUGACUGGUCCACAACUGACGCUGAGGUGCGAAAGCGUGGGGAGCAAACAGGAUUAGAUACCCGAGUAGUCCCUGUCUCUUAUAC